GCCACUUAGUCUACGUUCAGACUGCAGGUCAUUCUGAUGUUUUAACCAUCUGUGACUCAUAUCUGAUGUUUUCAUCUAAGUGUGAACAGGUCAGUUCUGAUUGGUUCUGAUCCGACCCAGGCCUCUUCUGUAUGUGGAUAUAAAUCAGAUAUGUAUCUGAUGUGACUGCAGUGUGACGCUCAGGUCGCGUUUAUCCGACCUUUACGUCAUCAAUAUGAGACAAACGUCACCAUUGUUCAACAACACGAACAGGCGCGGGAAGAUAUUUGU
rnacentral:lncRNA from 1 species